rnacentral:rRNA from 1 species
UACGUAGGUGGCGAGCGUUUGUCCGGAAUUACUGGGUGUAAAGCGCGUGUAGGCGGGAGGCCAAGUCUGUGGUGAAAUCGCCUGGCUUAACUGGGCGGGGUCCAUGGAAACUGGUCACCUGGAGGUCGGUAGAGGCAAGUGGAAUUCCCGGUGUAGUGGUGAAAUGCGUAGAGAUCGGGAGGAACACCAGUGGCGAAGGCGGCUUGCUGGGCCGGACCUGACGCUGAGACGGCGAAGGCGUGGGGAGCGAACGGGG